UACGUAGGUGGCAAGCGUUGGCCGGAAUUAUUGGGCGUAAAGCGCGCGCAGGCGGUCCUUUAAGUCUGAUGUGAAAGCCCACGGCUCAACCGUGGAGGGUCAUUGGAAACUGGGGGACUUGAGUACAGAAGAGAAGAGUGGAAUUCCACGUGUAGCGGUGAAAUGCGUAGAGAUGUGGAGGAACACCAGUGGCGAAGGCGACUCUUUGGUCUGUAACUGACGCUGAGGCGCGAAAGCGUGGGGAGCAAACAGG
rnacentral:rRNA from 1 species